rnacentral:lncRNA from 1 species
AAUUAAGUCACUCUAGCCAGAGAUGGAAACUAUCUUAUUGGUGUUACAUUGUUCUUUGCUUUACAUGAUUUCUAGGUGGUGACCAUUGGGGCUUUCCUUUUCUUUGUGGAUUAAAUGAUCUCCUAUUAGACCCAUAUGUGGAAUUCUAAGUAUUCAACUGGUUUCUUCACUCUUUGUUGCGGCGGGGACACAGCUGGUCCUGAGAAGGCAUCAUACUCAGACAAGCCUGCAAGAUUGCAUUCAUUCCUGUUGUUUCCGUUAGUGAUGCUCGUCCAUGGAAUGAUAAUCUAAUUUUCCUCCGUGGGUUGAUGUUCUGUCAUCAGAGGAGUGUCAGGAAGACCUAUUACAGAGCAGACAUCUAAGAUGAGGUAUGUGGUAGACAAAAAUGUCUGUGACAAUACCCUACAGAGUCUUCAUUACAGAUGACACGCUUAUCCAUAUAGGGGGGGAAACAGCUUUAAACUCAGAUCUGUGAAGAUGAAUGGACAAAAUGAGCUGAAUAAGAUAAAAUUCAAGAUACAAGAAUAUUUAAGAUACAAGGUAUAUCUUAAUGAGUAGCAUAUUAGACCAACUAUUAUCCAUCACAGAAAAUAAUUCAUCAUUGAACAAAAGUCUGGUUUGUUGAGUAAUUUUCUGGCAAAUAACAUCACCUAAUUUUUAUUUUUGUUGAAAUUUAGGGAUUGCUAAUGGAUUUGAACCGGAAGGGAACCCUUUAGAACUGACUAAUAGAGCUAGUGUGAGAAUUGGUCAACAGGAGGUCUUGACUCAGGAUACUGCAGAAAGAGUCA